rnacentral:rRNA from 1 species
GAUGAACGCUAGCGACAGGCUUAACACAUGCAAGUCGAGGGGCAGCAGGGGAGUAGCAAUACUCCCGCUGGCGACCGGCGCACGGGUGAGUAACACGUAUGCAACCUGCCCUUGUCAGGGGGAUAAGCGGAAGAAAUUCCGUCUAAUACCGCAUAAUGCUGCGGGGAGACAUCUCCCUGCAGCCAAAGAUUUAUCGGACAAGGAUGGGCAUGCGGCGCAUUAGCUUGUUGGCGGGGUAACGGCCCACCAAGGCGACGAUGCGUAGGGGUUCUGAGAGGAAGGUCCCCCACACUGGUACUGAGACACGGACCAGACUCCUACGGGAGGCAGCAGUGAGGAAUAUUGGUCAAUGGCCGGGAGGCUGAACCAGCCAAGUCGCGUGAGGGGAGACGGUCCUAUGGAUUGUAAACCUCUUUUGUCAGGGAGCAAAAACUGCCACGUGUGGCAGGAUGAGAGUACCUGAAGAAAAAGCAUCGGCUAACUCCGUGCCAGCAGCCGCGGUAAUACGGAGGAUGCGAGCGUUAUCCGGAUUUAUUGGGUUUAAAGGGUGCGUAGGCGGACAGUUAAGUCAGCGGUAAAAUUGAGAGGCUCAACCUCUUCCCGCCGUUGAAACUGAUUGUCUUGAGUGGGCGAGAAGUAUGCGGAAUGCGUGGUGUAGCGGUGAAAUGCAUAGAUAUCACGCAGAACUCCGAUUGCGAAGGCAGCAUACCGGCGCCCAACUGACGCUGAAGCACGAAAGCGUGGGUAUCGAACAGGAUUAGGUACCCUGGUAGUCCACGCAGUAAACGAUGAGUACUAAUUGUUCGGGUCAAAUGAGAUCUGAGUGAUACAGCGAAAGCGUUAAGUAUUCCACCUGGGGAGUACGCCGGCAACGGUGAAACUCAAAGGAAUUGACGGGGGCCCGCACAAGCGGAGGAACAUGUGGUUUAAUUCGAUGAUACGCGAGGAACCUUACCCGGGCUCAAACGACACAGGAAUGAUCUGAGAAAUCAGGCAGUCCUCCGGGACCUGUGUCGAGGUGCUGCAUGGUUGUCGUCAGCUCGUGCCGUGAGGUGUCGGCUUAAGUGCCAUAACGAGCGCAACCCCCAUCGACAGUUGCCAGCAGGUCAAGCUGGGCACUCUGUCGAGACUGCCGGCGCAAGCUGUGAGGAAGGCGGGGAUGACGUCAAAUCAGCACGGCCCUUACGUCCGGGGCGACACACGUGUUACAAUGGCAGGUACAGCGGGAAGCCACCUGGCGACAGGGAGCGGAACCCGAAAGCCUGUCUCAGUUCGGAUUGGAGUCUGCAACUCGACUCCAUGAAGCUGGAUUCGCUAGUAAUCGCGCAUCAGCCACGGCGCGGUGAAUACGUUCCCGGGCCU